rnacentral:rRNA from 1 species
AUUGAACGCUGGCGGCAGGCCUAACACAUGCAAGUCGAACGGUAACAGGAAGCAGCUUGCUGCUUCGCUGACGAGUGGCGGACGGGUGAGUAAUGUCUGGGAAGCUGCCUGAUGGAGGGGGAUAACUACUGGAAACGGUAGCUAAUACCGCAUAAUGUCGCAAGACCAAAGAGGGGGACCUUCGGGCCUCUUGCCAUCGGAUGUGCCCAGAUGGGAUUAGCUUGUUGGUGGGGUAACGGCUCACCAAGGCGACGAUCCCUAGCUGGUCUGAGAGGAUGACCAGCCACACUGGAACUGAGACACGGUCCAGACGCCUACGGGAGGCAGCAGUGGGGAAUAUUGCACAAUGGGCGCAAGCCUGAUGCAGCCAUGCCGCGUGUAUGAAGAAGGCCUUCGGGUUGUAAAGUACUUUCAGCGGGGAGGAAGGGAGUAAAGUUAAUACCUUUGCUCAUUGACGUUACCCGCAGAAGAAGCACCGGCUAACUCCGUG